AGUUGCUAGUGUGCUAGUGUGGCGGUCGCUUCGACAGGCGCUGAUGGUUUCCACCCGGUCAUAUUUAAACGUUGCACCUGCAUGCCGCUUACAGCAUAACAGUAGAUUGAAAUAUUCUGAUCAUGUUGUUUUAUAAUAUAGACACGUGAAAGCUAAUAUAUAUAUAUUAAGGUGUUUUAAACAACUUCUUUCAAAUACGCAAUCAUCGGAAUUUCAGGAUGUUUGCCAAAGCGUUUCGUGUGAAAUCUAACACGGUUGUCAAGGGAUCUGACAGGAGAAAACUCAAAACAGAUAUCUCCACUGCUUUCCCUUCAUUAUCAGCGGAGGAUGUUAACCAGCUUGUCCCAAAUAAAGAAGAGCUGAAUAUUGUGAAGAUUUAUGCACAUAAGGGAGAUGCAGCCACUCUGUACGUCCUUCAUAAAAAUCCCAUUUUCUUUCAGCUGGAGAAACAGAUUUUCCCUACAGUGUACACACUGUGGCGAUUUCCUGACAUGUUACCAGCAUUCACCACGUGGCCACCUGUCCUACAGAAGUUAGCUGGUGGAGCAGAUCUUAUGUUGCCAGGUGUAGUGGUAUCAUCUAGUGGCCUUCCUGAGGUAAAUCAAGGAGACUGCUGUGCUGUCAAUCUUGUGAUGAACAGGGCACCAGUUGCUGUUGGGACAGCAGCCAUGUCGAGUGCUGUGAUGAGGAAUAGUGGGAUGAAGGGAAAAGGAGUGAAUGUUUUGCACACCUACAUGGACCAGCUGUGGGCAUUUGGAGACAAGUCAAAUCCUCCAGUUAUACCGGUGACAGACUCUAUGGCACAGGUGGAGACAGAGGAAUGCGAGGAGGGAAUGACAGUAGACGGGCAAGCGAGUGAAGGACAGGACAACCCUGAACCUACAACAGUUGAAACAUCUUGUCAGAGCAUGCAGGAGCUUACACUGACAGAGCAAGACGCUCAGGUGUUGAAGGAUGAAGAACUGGUUGAUGAUGAUGAGGAGAGAGAAGACACUGACGGAGAAGAAAAUGACUCAAGAUCCCCACAAGAGCAAAUGGAUGCGCUAUUGUACCAGUGUUUCCUUCAUGCACUUAAGACUAAAGUAAAAAAGUCAGAGCUCCCCCUGCUGACCAGCAACUUUCUGCGCAACCACAUGGUGUCCUGCUGUCCUAGAGGAAAGCAAAUUGAUAUCAAGAAAUCAAGUUAUAAAAAGCUGUCUAAGUUUCUGCAGUGCAUGCAGCGAGAACACAGUCUGGUUCAGGUGAAGGAGUUGAGUAAAGGUGUGGAGAGCAUUGUAGAAGUUGACUGGAAAAACCCUGAAUUGUCCUCCUUCAGAACCCCAGAGGAUUGUGGGCAAGAGUCUGUGGAGGAGGGUGGAGCUUGUGAGGUCUCAUUCCAGCCCCCUGAAAUCACACCUCUGUACGGGGUCACUGCACGCCUGGAGCCUCUCUUUCAGGAUGCCCGGAAAAAAAAGGGAGCGACUCUAAAGGCCAGUGAAGUGAGGAAUAUCAUCAUAGAUUAUGUCAAGAAAUCUGAACUUGUUAAUGAAACUAACAAAAACUAUGUUAAUAUUAACCCUACACUUUGUGACUGCUUACUGGAAAAAUCAGAGUACCAUGAUGUAGAGACGCUGAAGUGGGAUGAUCUCAUUACCAGAACACUAAGUAAAAUGCAGGCAUGCCAUGAGGUGCUGUUUCCAGGUCAGCCUCCGAUGGUUAAGAAAGGUCAGAUGGAGCCCAUAGAGAUCACUGUAGCUUCCAGGGGCUCUAAUAAGAAGGUUACAAUUAUUAAAAACCUGGAGGCGUUCGGUUUGGACCCAGCUGUGGUGGCAGAUAUACUCCAGCAUCGGGUCCAGGCCAGCUGCAUCCUCCAGGAUUCCCCGGGCGUCAAAAACAAAGUUCUGGUGCAGGUCCAGGGAAAUCAGAUACAACAUGUUAGCAAAAUUCUGCUAGAUCAGUAUCACAUCCCACGAAAAUAUGUACAAGGUCUUGACAAAGCUCCUAAACCUGGGAAGAAGAAAUAGCAGACAUUCUCACAUCAUAUAGCUAUUUGUUUCUGUAACAUAUAGAAAAACUUUUGAUUUAUACAUCAUCUGAAAGUUGAAUAAUGUAUUGUUUGUUAGGAUAGGAUAAUAUGUGAGAUACAACUAUUUGAAAAUCUGGAAUCUGAGGGUGCAAAAAAUCAAAAUAUUGAGAAAUUUGCCUUUAAAGUGGUGCAAAUGAAGUCCUUGGCAACACAUAUUACAAAUGA